rnacentral:piRNA from 1 species
UUGUGCAAACCUCGGGGUGGG